rnacentral:rRNA from 1 species
UACGUAGGGACCGAGCGUUGUCCGGAUUCAUUGGGCGUAAAGAGCUCGUAGGCGGCUAUUCAAGUCGAACGUGAAAUCUCGGAGCUCAACUCCGAAACUGCGUUUCGAUACUGGGGUAGCUAGAGUCUGGUAGGGGGGAUCUGGAAUUCCUGGGUGUAGCGGUGGAAUGCGCAGAUAUCAGGAGGAACACCGGUGGCGAAGGCGGGGACCUGGGCCAGUACUGACGCUGAGGAGCGAAAAGCGUGGGGGAGCAAACAGG